rnacentral:rRNA from 1 species
GACGAACGCUGGCGGCGUGCUUAGCACAUGCAAGUCGAACGGAAAGGCCCUGCUUGCAGGGUGCUCGAGUGGCGAACGGGUGAGUAACACGUGGGUGAUCUGCCCCUUAUUUUGGGAUAAGCCUGGGAAACUGGGUCUAAUACUGGAUAGGACCAUGCUGUAGGUGGUGUGGUGGAAAGAUUAGUUUCGGUAAGGGAUGAGCUCGCGGCCUAUCAGCUUGUUGGUGGGGUAAUGGCCUACCAAGGCGUCGACGGGUAGCCGGCCUGAGAGGGUGGACGGCCACAUUGGGACUGAGAUACGGCCCAGACUCCUACGGGAGGCAGCAGUGGGGAAUAUUGCACAAUGGGCGCAAGCCUGAUGCAGCGACGCCGCGUGGGGGAUGACGGCCUUCGGGUUGUAAACUCCUUUCAGCCAUGACGAAGCCCUUGUGGUGACGGUAGUGGUAGAAGAAGCACCGGCUAACUACGUG